GGAUAGAGGCCUACCAUGGUGGUAACGGGUAACGGGGUGUUAGGGCACGACACCGGAGAGGGAGCCUGAGAAACGGCUACCACAUCCAAGGAUGGCAGCAGGCGCGCAAAUUACCCAAUCCCGACACGGGGAGGUAGUGACAAUAAAUAACAAUACGGGAUUCUUUAGGAUCUCGUAAUUGGAAUGAGUACAAUUUAAAUCUCUUAACGAGGAACAAUUGGAGGGCAAGUCUGGUGCCAGCAGCCGCGGUAAUUCCAGCUCCAAUAGCGUAUAUUAAAGUUGUUGCAGUUAAAAAGCUCGUAGUUGAAUUUCGGGGUUAGUAGGUUGGUCAUGCCUCUGGUAUGUACUGAUCUCACUGAUUCCUCCUUCCUUAUGAACCGUAAUGCCAUUAAUUUGGUGUUGCGGGGAAUUUGGACUGUUACUUUGAAAAAAUUAGAGUGUUUAAAGCAGGCUAACGCUUGAAUACAUUAGCAUGGAAUAAUGGAAUAGGACGUUCGAUCUUAUUUUGUUGGUUUCUAGGAUUGACGUAAUGAUUAAUAGGGAUAGUUGGGGGCAUUAGUAUUCAAUUGUCAGAGGUGAAAUUCUUGGAUUUAUUGAAGACUAACUACUGCGAAAGCAUUUGCCAAGGAUGUUUUCAUUAAUCAAGAACGAAAGUUAGGGGAUCGAAGACGAUCAGAUACCGUCGUAGUCUUAACCAUAAACUAUGCCGACUAGGGAUCGGAUGA
rnacentral:rRNA from 1 species